rnacentral:rRNA from 1 species
UACGUAGGGGGCGAGCGUUGUCCGGAUUUACUGGGCGUAAAGGGCAUGCAGGCGGUCGGACGCGUUUUGUGUGACAGCGGAUGGCUUACCUAUCCGAGCAUACGAAAGACGGUGCGACUUGAGGACUCGAGAGGGACACGGAAUUCCUGGUGUAGCGGUGAAAUGCGCAGAUAUCAGGAGGAACACCGGUGGCGAAGGCGGGUCUCUGGGCCGAUACUGACGCUGAGGAGCGAAAGCGUGGGGAGCGAACAGG